rnacentral:rRNA from 1 species
UACAGAGGUCUCAAGCGUUGUUCGGAUUCAUUGGGCGUAAAGGGCACGUAGGCGGCGGGGUAAGUCGGGUGUGAAAUCUCAGGGCUCAACCCUGAAACUGCACUCGAUACUGCUCUGCUUGAGGACUGGAGAGGAGACUGGAAUUCACGGUGUAGCAGUGAAAUGCGUAGAGAUCAUGAGGAAGACCAGUGGCGAAGGCGGGUCUCUGGACAGUUCCUGACACUGAGACACGAAGGCCAGGGGAGCAAAACGGG